rnacentral:rRNA from 1 species
GAUGAACGCUGGCGGCGUGCCUAAUACAUGCAAGUCGAGCGAACGGACGAGAAGCUUGCUUCUCUGAUGUUAGCGGCGGACGGGUGAGUAACACGUGGAUAACCUACCUAUAAGACUGGGAUAACUUCGGGAAACCGGAGCUAAUCCCGGAUAAUAUUUUGAACCGCAUGGUUCAAAAGUGAAAGACGGUCUUGCUGUCACUUAUAGAUGGAUCCGCGCUGCAUUAGCUAGUUGGUAAGGUAACGGCUUACCAAGGCAACGAUGCAUAGCCGACCUGAGAGGGUGAUCGGCCACACUGGAACUGAGACACGGUCCAGACUCCUACGGGAGGCAGCAGUAGGGAAUCGUCCGCAAUGGGCGAAAGCCUGACGGAGCAACGCCGCGUGAGUGAUGAAGGUCUUCGGAGCGUAAAACUCUGUUAUUAGGUAAGAACAUAUGUGUAAGUAACUGUGCACAUCUUGACGGUACCUAAUCAGAAAGCCACGGCUAACUACGUG